AACGAACGCUGGCGGCACGCCUAACACAUGCAAGUCGAGCGAGAAGCUACCUUCGGGUAGUGGGCAGCGGCGGACGGGUGAGUAACGCGUGGGCACCUGCCUUUUAGUACGGAACAACAGUUGGAAACGACUGCUAAUACCGUAUACGCCCUUCGGGGGAAAGAUUUAUCGCUAAAAGAUGGGCCCGCGUUAGAUUAGCUAGUUGGUGAGGUAAGAGCUCACCAAGGCGACGAUCUAUAGCUGGUUUGAGAGGAUGAUCAGCCACACUGGGACUGAGACACGGCCCAGACUCCUACGGGAGGCAGCAGUGGGGAAUAUUGGACAAUGGGGGCAACCCUGAUCCAGCGAUGCCGCGUGUGUGAUGAAGGCCUUAGGGUUGUAAAACACUUUCAGAUGGGAUGAUAAUGACAGUACCAUCAGAAGAAGCUCCGGCUAACUCCG
rnacentral:rRNA from 1 species